AUUUUGUAGUCGAAACCACAUUUUACUUUUGUCCCAAUGUACAGUGCAUCAGACGAAUUCCUCCAUGAAUAAGCUUGACACCUCCAGGAAAAAUUAAUUAUAUUCCUGGUUCAAUUGAAGAAGAAGAAAUUGAACAUUUGCAUCAAAUUGGACUUCCACUUUAAUGAACAACAAUAGACUGUUUUUGAGGUUUAUCUAAACAUUUUAUCUUAACUAAAAUAAUGUAAUAGCG